GGUCGAAUGUAUACACUCUCAACAAUUAUCCGCGAGCGAAAACGAUAAUGGGUACAAUUAAGUUGUCGAAUCGGACGAGCCGUCGGACGAAUCCGCCGUAGUGAUGUGCCGUUAGGUAUUUACCCCUAAAAUAAAUAUUCCGUGUGUUUACCGGAUAUCAUACCCGUGAAUUUAUUUAUCCGCCUGAAAUUCGGAAAAAACAAUUUUUUUUUGUUUUCAACGGUACCCUACAACUACCGUUGGUUUUCUCGAUUCUAUGAAACAAACACAUUAUCACAGAUAAUAUCUGUAUAACCGUGUUCAUUCGUGCGUUUUCCUGAUACCGUGUAUGCACCUCAAUAGUAGUAUUAUCAUUAAUAUA